GCUGUAGUGCCUUUGAAUGCUCACCUCGGGAGGCUCCAUGCUGAACUAGGAGAUACCUCGGGUUCCUAAUGCUGCCAUGGGCUUCUGGUUCUUCUGUUGUGUGGCCCUUUGUCUCCUGAGAGCAGGGCCUGUGGAUUCCAGAGUCAUGCAAACCCCCAAAUACCUGAUCCAAGUUAAAGGACAACAAGCAACACUGAAAUGCUCCCCCGUUUCUGGACACCUCUCCGUGUACUGGUACCAACAGAAUCUGGACCAGGGCUUCCGGUUCCUCAUUCAGUAUUACAGUGGUGAAGAAAGAGACAAAGGAAACAUCCCUGACCGAUUCUCUGUGCGGCAGUUCCCUGACUCCAGCUCUGAACUCACCCUGAGGGUUUUGGAACUGGGGGACUCGGCACUCUUUCUCUGUGCCAGCAGCUUGGCACAGCGCUGCAUGGUCCCCAGCCUUCUGUACAAAAACAUUUCUCUUUAUUCCAGGAAGUGACCAGGAAGGCAGAGCUGCCAGCCAGCCUGGCUCAGGCCCUGGGAAGUUCACAGGCCUUUCCCAGACACUUGCUGCUGCUGGCAUCUGUGAUCUGUUUAACCAUCUCAGAACUGGUGCCAGUUCAGCAUCAUUUUACCUGUCUGUCUGUCUGCAGGAAAACUGUACCAGGCCUCAUAUUCCAUAGCUGUCUGAUACCUAUUCCUCCAACACCUGUCACUCUUUCACUGUUCACCUAGUAGAUUUGUCCUCUCCUCUGAUUUCCCCUCCUCAGAUCCCAGUGAGUAGGAAGGGAAUGUUAUGUAUCACACAUGAUUAUAAUGAGUGGUUUCCUGACAAGGCUAAGAAACACACUACUUCAAGGCCAAGUAUAUUCUCAUUGGGAUGAGAAAGAAAGGCACAAUUACUGCACCGUAGUCCUCUUGCUGCGAUAUAGAGAAAGCCAUGUGAUCUCUCUUGUGGCAGCCUAUGGGUAGUGUGGUCUCCAGCUGCAGAACAAAAGGAUGGGGCAUUUGUUAGGGAAAAUGCAGUUGUCAUGUGCAGACAUGAUAAGCCAUAGGGGAAAGAAAUGUGACCUCAUCACUCGUUAAUUUCUUCUAUUCUUUUACUCAACAACCAUUUCUGGGCUCCCCACUUUGUACAAGGAUGUUCACAGAAGAUAGAAA